ACAAGGGGUCCUAGCGUUGUUCGGAAUCACUGGGCGUAAAGCGUAUGUAGGCGGGCUUUUAAGUCAGGUGUGAAAUCCCACGGCUCAACCGUGGAAUUGCAUUUGAAACUGGAAGUCUUGAGUGUGGGAGAGAUUGGUAGAAUACCUGGUGUAGUGGUGAAAUACGUAGAUAUCAGGUGGAAUACCGGUGGCGAAGGCGGCCACCUGGACGGCAACUGACGCUGAGACGCGAAAGCGUGGGUAGCAAACAGGA
rnacentral:rRNA from 1 species